UAAAGAUAUUUAAAUAUUUUUAACAUUGAAUCUUACACUAUAAAGUGAUUAAAUCAUAUUCUCUUUAUUACAUACAAAGAAGAAAAAUGGCUAAAACUCUCAACUUUGUUUGCAUUAUGAUUUUAUUUCUUUCUAUAUUCCUUCUUUCAAAGGAGGCGGGUGGUAAACCAUUUUUUUAUCUUUACAAUUUUUCUUCUUUAUUUUUUAGUUCUUACUAAAUGGUUAUCUCAUUUUAAAAUAUUAUUUACUUUUUUUCCAGCAUGUGAAACUCUUAAAGAUUGUCCAGAGAGUUCCCACAAGCAUGAUUUCAUGUUUAAGUGCAUUAACAACGAAUGUGUGCCUAUUUUGAAUUGGAGCUUUUAUGAAUAUAACACCUAAGGUAGUACACAAACAUUGUGUAAGGAAAAAUGAUUUCUCAAACCAGUCAAGAAUCUCAUAAAUAUACUUUUUGCUAGAAGGUUCCAUAUGUUGUCCUUUAAGUUUUACGUUGUUUAUCAAUAAUUGUAUUUUUAUUUAUUUAGUUUUUUAAUUUUAUGUACCUUAAAUUUAUGGCUUUGUACUCUAAAAUGUUUGGAAUGAAAUAAAAUAUGGAACUAAAUAUUAUUGUAAUAAUAUUUUCUUUUUUCUCUUAAUUUUGAAUGUUUAUCGUGGUCUACAUAUUUUUCAUGUGUAGGUAAAAAAAUUUAUAAAUUGAACUCGAAAUACUACAAAACUUUGUAUACAAUAUCUAUGUGUUGUGAAUGAAGUCUCUG
rnacentral:lncRNA from 1 species